AUGCCCGGCCGCUCGCCGGCGCCCACCGGCCGCCGCCGGCGCCGCAGCCGAGGCUGGAGCACUCCGUCUAAGGCCUCCCGUCGCCCACAGUCCCCUCCCCCUUCCUCCGCGCCGCCCCUUGCCCAGCAGCCGCCCCUGCCCCCUGGCACCGAGGUCGAGGUCCGCGUCGACGACGACGGCUUCCACGGCUCCUGGUUCGAGGCCAAAGUCGACAGCUUCCUCCCUGCGCGCGGCCGCGGCUCCCGGGCCCGCUACACCGUCACCUACUCCCAUCUCCUCUCCGACGACUCCGGCGGUACCCUCGUCGAACCCUUCGCUCCCUCCCACAUCCGCCCUCGCCCCCCUCCUCCCUCCAACCCGGAGCCUCUCUGCCUCCACGACAUCGUCGAGGCCUUCCACAACGACGGAUGGUGGUCCGGAAUCCUUCUCGCCACUGACCCCCUCACCGCCGCCUUCCCCAUCACCCGCGAGGUCAUAACCUUCCAGGAUCCCCACCACGUCCGCCCUCGCCGCGACUACGUCGACGGCCAGUGGCUCCCGUCCAAGGUCGCCAUUUCUGUCCAGCCCAAGCGGGCGGUUAGGGUUUACGCCGUUGGGGACAAGGUGGAGGUGGUGAGGGACCGGGACUUGUAUGGCUACUCGUGGUUCCCCGCCACCGUGGCCAAGGUCAUUGAUAGGCUGAGUUACCUCGUGGAGUACUCCGAUCUGGAGGAAGAGGUGGGUGGGGGGAAGGCCAUGGAGUACCUGCAUUGCCUCUUCAUCAGACCAGACGUGGAGCACUCUCCGCGGGAGAGCGAGUUCCGCCUCGGUCCUGGUGCCGCAGUGGAGGUGUACUGUGACGGCGCUUGGUCACCAGGGGUGGUGCAAAGGGCUGUUGGCGAGGGUGAGUACGAGGUUAGCAUUGACGGAAAGGAGGGAGAGCUGUUGCUGAAGAAGGUGCCAGAGUUGCUCAAGCCUCAAUACAAGUGGAAUGGCAAGCAUUGGAGGAUUGUAAGUCCUAAGAGACAAGGUAAUAGGCGGCAGUCUGUAUCUGGAAAACGUCCAAGCUCAGCUGUUGAGGUGGCAUCCAAUGAUGAUGAAAAUAGCCAUCAUACACAAUCUCCAGCCACAAAAAGGUCAAGGAUAGAACUGCCACGAAAAAAACUUGAAGAGUUAACUGAAGGUUCUGAACAUGUGUUGGAGUCUGAGAUGGACACUAGUUUAUCUGCACUACGCAAGUCACUAGCAAGCAAUUUUUCUCCAAAAACCUGUUCUCCGCGAUCUAGAAAAAAUAACUUUCAAGCGAUUUCACGAAGGAUAGUGGAUUCUUGUACAGCGCCGAUGAAGGGGCUUGGGGUUCAUCAUGCUUCCUCAGAAAAUCCAACACCUCAGAACGAAUCAAGAGCAGAUGGUAUUGUGGAAGUUGUUGUUCAAGAAGCCCCGCUUGACAUGAUGCUUUCAAAUGGUCAGCUUAAUUCACCUGUCUGUGGAAGAAUUGCUGAUGAAGCCCAUGAUAUGCUUUUGAUUGCAGGAUUAAGAAAACAGAAAAUGGAUUCCUCUUGCAUAAAUAAUGCUGUCCAGAAACCACAGGAAAGCCAGGAAAGCCCGCUUGAUGUCCAGCCACUCCAGGUAAAGAAAUUUAGUGCCAAGCAUAAAGGUGGGGAAAAAGGCGGGGAAACUCACCCUAUUCAAGCACUUGAGGGAAACAGUGACACAUUUAAUAACAUUCAGUUGAAAGGUAACAGCAAUAGCUCUUGUAAGGAAAUUAUUUGUGCUUUGACUGCUUCGACGUGCAAUGCCCCUUCACCGCUGGAUAAGCAGACGAGAGCACCUGAUGCGGUGUCAAGAGGGGCUGAUAGUAGCUCAAACACAAAGGUUUUUGCCUCCAAGAAAUCAGCUGAAAAGAAAGGCUUCAAAGGUUUGUCUAGCCCACAUAGCUCAGGGCAUGGAACUAGGACUGUCCAGAAGAGAAGUGCAAAGAAAGUGGCAGGGCGACAGAAAGAAUGCUUCAUGGAAAGACAAGUGGACAGCAGAGGACCUCAUACUCAGCAGCAGCUCAACAGGGAGGAAAAAGUAAACGUAAAUGACGGAACAAAUCAGGAACUGUUUCCUUUAAUACCCCCAGGCUUCAAAUCAAUCUGUAACGGGCAAGGUUUACUCGAUGGGGAAAAAGUGGAUGAGAGACCAAAUCAACUACAUAUUCAGGAUGCUGGGAGCUCACAGUGCACCAUGGAAAACACUGCAUUAAGAAGCUGCUCAGCUGUUGGGACUUCUCUGCACCCACCUUUUCUUUCAUGUCAGAUCUCUGGUGAGCGUUUUCCGUUCAUCAAGACCUCAUCCAUAUGGUAUCAAAUUGAACCAAUGGAAGUGUUUCGGAAGGUACCACAGGAACCCCAUUUCCUUCCACUUCAGCAAUUUAUGCCGGAACUGCGUGAAGGAAUGGCUAUAGGUCUAAUGGUGACAUAUGCCAGCUUAGUUGAAAGUGUCAAGCGAUCAUGCAUAGAAGAUAAUAUUGAGUUAUUUGAAAGAAAGAUCAACGCACUUGCCCAUUUAGAGGAAAAUGGAUUUGAUGUUAAGUUGCUGCAGCACAGUCUGAUGAAAUUACUUGAGGCCAAAUGGGAGCACACCAAGCAUCUUGGACAUCUGGACGAGUUGAAAGAAUUGGUACCACGGAAGGAGUCUGCCAUGUCCCACAAGCAUGCAUUACUUGUUGAAAAGGAAGGAGCUAUAUUUCAGCUUGAGCAGAAACUUUUGUGCCUUCGUGGUGAAGCAGAGCAGAUUGCAAAGGAGACAAAAGAUGAAGAUGCAGAGCUCUUGAGGCUGAAAGAGGGAGUUAACAUAGCUCAGGAAGCAUGUGUUAAUGUUGAAGUGCGGUUUCAUGACAUCCUAGCCGAUAUGCGUUCGAGACUGCAGCUUUCCGAGUGA
rnacentral:rRNA from 1 species